AACGUUUUGGGGGGCCCUGAUUCGUUAAAGAGCACGAAAUACAUUUUUUACACAUUUUUACAUUUUUUAUAUAUUUUAUUGAUGAUUGUCCUUAUUUUGGAAAUUUUAUCAAUUUAUUGUCAUUUUUUAAGAAUUAUUAUUUUUCACAUGUAUAGCGCAAUACUACCAUUUUCGUGCAAUUAAUAAUUGUUUCUUAAUUUUAUAGCAAUACAUUUUUAUAUCUUGCAUAUUAAUAUUUAUAUUUUAUACUUACGCUAUUAUUUAUACAUGUAUUAAUUAAUUAUAUUUUUUAGUGCAGCCCGACAGUUCAGAGAAAAUCGGAGCAAUCAAUUUUUAAACGCAGAGUAAAAUUCGAUCAAGUCAAGGUCUCGUCACCUUUAUUAAAAAAAAAAAAAAGUUGAUUGAGGUGAUGGAUUGGGGACAAAGGGGUAUGGCUUCAAUUUGUUUUUAACAAUACAUCACACCACUUUGUUUUAUAAAGAAAGAGAAGGGGAUUUUUUUUUUCUAUAUGAACAGAUACAUACAUACACGCACAGGAGAUUUACCUUCCCUUUUCUAAACCUAAUUAUUUCUCUUCCCUUCUCCAUUUUCAGCCGCCACCACGCCUAUCUCAUCUCCGCCGUCUGCUCCGACAAAACCACAAAAACGAAAAACUCUCAAGUCUUUCUUCCAAGUUCCCGAUUUUGUCUUAAGGGGUGUCCUUUCUUGCUCCUUCUUUCUCUCGAGUGAAUCUCAAACAUUUUCCAGUUGACUCACUUAUUCAUAUUGCUGAUAUUGAUGGUGUCCAUCAAGAUUGCUUUUUUUAACUCCUUUUUGGCUUGCACACAAUUGGUAUCCGGAGUUACUUUUUGAAGAUGGCACUCAAAAGAAGUUCAAAUAGCUUCUUAAAUUCUUUGUUUAUAUUUUCUUUUACAUUCUUAAAUUAUGCAAGCAUAAAAUAUAGUGAAACUUUACUUUUUAGGGUGUAGGUUGGUUGUAUUUGUUUAUGAUCUGCUUAGGUGAUUUAAAUUUUAUGUGUUUUAGACAAAUUAAUUUUAGGCAGUUAUUAUUUUUGUAGCUAAUAUUCUUAUAGUUAUCAUGUUUCGCUAGAGUUUUAA